rnacentral:lncRNA from 1 species
UGCUGAGAUAAAUGUGUCAUGUUUGAGAGUCAGCUGUGAAACUGAUCUUCCUGUGCAACCCCAGGUAGAAACAGGCUGCCACAGACAUUGGUGAUCUAAUGGCCAGGAAAGAGGGAUCAUGGUAACUUUGGUGCAUACAAAUAUGGCAUACAGGUCUGGUGGCUUGCACUGCUGUCUAUUAUUAAAGGUUAGGUUAGCCCAGGCAGAAGCAUGAGGCAGGUGUACUUAGUAGCCAUGGGCAAGCCUCUUUUUCAAAUAAAACUCUCAGGUGUCAUCUUAUGUAAUACAAAUUGGGGCUGGCAAAGAGACAUCCUGCCAAAGUCCAAACUGAGGAAAAAGCUACUUUUGAAUCAGGUUACCUCACCCAGUUUGGUGCAGGUAUAACCCUGACAUACUCUGUCAGUUAGAAAUACAUGGAGGAAGGUUACCAUCAAGCAAAAGGAGUUCAGCAUGUCUCAGAAAGCUUGUUCAGACUAGUACUGGGAUCUCAUCCCUGCACCAGGUGGGACAAGGAUACCUGCCCCUCAGUUGCUGGGCCCAGCUGCUGGUGGCCACAGGCAUGCACAGGCAGAGUCAUGGUCCAGAAGAUACGCAUGACUUCAGAGGGAGUUUCCUGUGCUGCUACAGAACAGUUCCAAAGCCACAAAGAACUAGCUGCCUGCUAUAUCAAGAGAGCAUCUGAAACAGAUCUGAAUUCCUGUACCAAGUGUGUUAUGGUGAUCCCACCGAGUUUCAUCAGAUCCUCCCGAUUAAAUCAUUGAACUAACUUAAUUAUCAUUAAUAAGCAUGCAUCAAAAAACAUAUAGUAAUGCUAUCUGAUAAAGCCAAACAUUAUAGGGAGACUGUCCAAACCCAGAAGUCAGGAAUAUGGACUGAAUUCAAUCCAGGUAAUACCCAAACCCACAGCUGGACGGCCCUCCAGGUCCCACAGGUC